rnacentral:siRNA from 1 species
GGAGGGAUGGCUGAGUGGC